GUCCAAGUUGCGGCGGACCACAGCCAAAAGCCUGCCAAGGCGAUGGCAACAGCCGGCCAGAUGCGGGUCACGAGACCGAUCAAGCCGGCUGU
rnacentral:sRNA from 1 species